UACGAAGGGGACUAGCGUUGUUCGGAAUCACUGGGCGUAAAGCGCACGUAGGCGGAUUAGUUAGUCAGGGAUGAAAUCCCGGGGCUCAACCUCGGAACUGUCUUUGAUACUGCAGAUCUCGAGUCCGGAAGAGGUGAGUGGAAUUCCUAGUGUAGAGGUGAAAUUCGUAGAUAUUAGGAAGAACACCAGUGGCGAAGGCGGCUCACUGGUCCGGUACUGACGAUGAGGUGCGAAAGCGUGGGGAGCAAACAGG
rnacentral:rRNA from 1 species